rnacentral:misc_RNA from 1 species
GAUGAAGAACGUAGUGAAAUGCGAUAAGUAAUGUGAAUUGCAGAAUUCAGUGAAUCAUCGAAUCUUUGAACGAACAUUGCGCCCUCUGGUAUUCCGGGGGGCAUGCCUGUUCGAGCGUCAUUAUAACCACUCAAGCUCUCGCUUGGUAUUGGAGUUCGCGAUCUCGCGGCUCCUAAAAUCAGUGGCGGUGCCUGUCGGCUCUACGCGUAGUAAUACUCCUCGCGAUUGAGUCCGGUAGGUUUACUUGCCAGCAACCCCCAAUUUUUACAGGUUGACCUCGGAUCAGGUAGGGAUACCCGCUGAACUUAAGCAUAUCAAUAAGCGGAGGA